rnacentral:rRNA from 1 species
GACAGAGGGUGCAAACGUUGUUCGGAAUUACUGGGCGUAAAGCGUGUGUAGGCGGUCCACUAAGUCGGGUGUGAAAGCCCCGGGCUCAACCCGGGAAGUGCACUCGAAACUGGUGGGCUAGAGUAUCGGAGAGGUUGGUGGAAUUCUCGGUGUAGAGGUGAAAUUCGUAGAUAUUCGGAAGAACACCAGUGGCGAAGGCGACUUACUGGACACAUAUUGACGCUGAGGUGCGAAAGCGUGGGGAGCGAACGGG